rnacentral:piRNA from 1 species
UGCAUGGUGUUGCGAGCAGACCGCGGGC